UGCAUACCUUUGUUAUCGUAC
rnacentral:piRNA from 1 species